AAACACCCGAUGAACUGAAACAUCUAAGUAGUCGGAGGAAAAGAAAUCAAAGAGAUUCCCUGAGUAGCGGCGAGCGAAACGGGAAGAGCCCAAACCGGAGGACUUCGGUUCUCCGGGGUUGCGGACCUGCAACAAACCGGACACUUUAGUGGAAGCAUCUGGGAAGGUGCGGCAAAGAGAGUGAGACCCUCGUACACGAAAGAGUGAAAGGCGGGCAGGGAUCCAGAGUACCACAGGGCACGAGGAACCCAGUGGGAAGCAGGGUGGACCACCAUCCAAGGCUAAAUACAUCGAAACGACCGAUAGCGAAAAGUACCGUGAGGGAAAGGUGAAAAGAACCCCGGGAGGGGAGUGCAAUAGAACCUGAAACCGUAUGUCUACAAACAGUCGGAGCACUAUUUAUGUGCGACGGCGUGCCUAUUGAAGAAUGAACCGGCGAGUUAAUUUAUGCUGCGAGGUUAAGCGGGAGACGCGGAGCCGAAGCGAAAGCGAGUCUUAAGAGGGCGCAAGUAGCAUGGAUUAGACCCGAAACCACAGUGAUCUAUGCAUGUCCAGGUUGAAGCUCAGGUAAAAAUGAGUGGAGGACCGAACCCGUGCGUGUUGAAAAACGUUGGGAUGAGGUGUGCAUAGGGGUGAAAUGCCAAUCGAACGUGGAGAUAGCUGGUUCUCCCCGAAAUAGCUUUAGGGCUAGCCUCAGGCGAAUAACCAUAGAGACGGUAGAGCACUGAUCGGGCAAGGGGGCGUAAAGCCUACCGACCCCAGUCAAACUACGAAUGGCUCAUAUGGGCAGCCUGGGAGUCAGAAUGCGAGUGAUAAGACCCGUAUUCAAGAGGGAAACAGCCCAGACCGCCGGCUAAGGUCCCAAAUGCUGUGCUAAGUGGAAAAGGAUGUAGGACUUCGAAAACAACCAGGAUGUUGGCUCAGAAGCAGCCACCAUUAAAAGAGUGCGUAAUAGCUCACUGGUCGAGAGGCCCUGCGCCGAAAAUAUCCGGGGCUCAAGCACAGAACCGAAGCCGCGGCAGGGUGUACCAAGGUACACACUGGGUAGGGGAGCGUUCUUAUCUGGACGAAGGCAGACCGGAAGGACUGCUGGACGGGUAAGAAGUGAGAAUGCCGGUAUGAGUAGCGAAACGACAGGUGAGAAUCCUGUCCACCGAAAGCCUAAGGAAUCCCGGGCAACGCUCGUCGUCCCGGGGUAAGUCGGGACCUAAGCCGAGGCGAAAAGCAUAGGCGAUGGACAACUGGCGAAAAUUCCAGUACCGGGCGACUUCGUUUGAGGAUGGAGUGACGCAGGAAGGAAGCUGAGCGCGCGAAUGGUUGGGCGCGUCGAAGGCGGUAGGCUUGUAUGGAGGCAAAUCCCCAUACUGCAAGGCCGAGAACCGAUAGAUAGGAAAGACUACGGUCAAUCUGAAUUCAGCCGCACUACACUGCCAAGAAAAGCUUCUAACGAGAAGUCGUCCGCCCGUACCAAAACCGACACAGGUAGGCGGGGAGAGAAUCCUAAGGUGCGCGGGAAAACCCUCGUUAAGGAACUCGGCAAAAUGCAUCCGUAACUUCGGGAAAAGGAUGGCCGAUGGUGGUGAAGUCUUUUACAGAUGGAGCUGUUGUCGGCGGCAGAAAAGAGGCCCAAGCGACUGUUUACCACAAACACAGGUGCCUGCGAAAGCGCAAGCUGAAGUAUAGGUGCUGACGCCUGCCCGGUGCAGGAAGGUUAAGGAGAGUUGUUAGUCCUAGAGAUGAAGCAGCGAACUGAAGCCCCUGUAAACGGCGGCCGUAACUAUAACGGUCCUAAGGUAGCGAAAUUCCUUGUCGGGU
rnacentral:rRNA from 1 species